rnacentral:rRNA from 1 species
AUUGAACGCUGGCGGCAGGCCUAACACAUGCAAGUCGAGCGGCAGCACAGUAAUUGCUCCUGGUUUCAGCGGCGGACGGGUGAGUAAUGCCUAGGAAUCUGCGUGUUUGUGGUGGCUUGCGUGCGGACGCGGGCGCUCAUACCGCAUACGUCCUGAGGGCGUACGUGGGGGAUCUUCGGACCUCCCGCUAUCAGAUGAGCCUAGGUCGGAUUAGCUAGUUGGUGGGGUAAAGGCCUACCAAGGCGACGAUCCGUAGCUGGUCUGAGAGGAUGAUCAGUCACACUGGAACUGAGACACGGUCCAGACUCCUACGGGAGGCAGCAGUGGGGAAUAUUGGACAAUGGGCGAAAGCCUGAUCCAGCCAUGCCGCGUGUGUGAAGAAGGCCUUCGGAUUGUAAAGCCCUUUUAGUGGGGAAGAAGAGCAGUAGGUUAAUACCUCGCUGUUUUGACGGUACCAAAAGAAUAAGCACCGGCUAACUUCGUG